rnacentral:tRNA from 1 species
GGGGUUGUGGUUCAGUGGUAGAACGCUCGCCUAGCGCGUGCGAGGCCCUGGGUUCGAUUCUCAGCUCCA